UUCGGCACGGAUGCCGGGAAAGCCUUAUGUAACCGAGUUUGGCGAAGACAAACUCGAGGUGAAAAUCGUACAGGGAUGUACGACUUUCACACUGC
rnacentral:sRNA from 1 species